rnacentral:rRNA from 1 species
AUACGUAGGGGGCGAGCGUUGUCCGGAAUGAUUGGGCGUAAAGGGCGCGUAGGCGGCGCGGUAAGUCUGGAGUGAAAGUCCUGCUUUCAAGGUGGGAAUUGCUUUGGAUACUGCCGCGCUUGAGUGCAGGAGAGGUUAUCGGAAUUCCCGGUGUAGCGGUGAAAUGCGUAGAGAUCGGGAGGAACACCAGUGGCGAAGGCGACUUACUGGACUGUAACUGACGCUGAGGUGCGAAAGUGUGGGGAGCAAACAGGAUUAGAUACCCUGGUAGUCCACACUGUAAACGAUGAAUGCUAGGUGUAGGGGGUAUCGACCCCUUCUGUGCCGCAGUCAACACAAUAAGCAUUCCGCCUGGGGAGUACGGCCGCAAGGUUGAAACUCAAAUGAAUUGACGGGG